rnacentral:rRNA from 1 species
UGGGGAAUAUUGGACAAUGGGCGCAAGCCUGAUCCAGCAACGCCGCGUGGAGGAUGAAGGUCUUCGGAUCGUAAACUCCUGUCAGAUGGGACGAAGGGACCGAGGUAAAUAACAUCGGUUCUUGACGGUACCGUCAGAGGAAGCCCCGGCUAACUCCGUGCCAGCAGCCGCGGUAAUACGGAGGGGGCGAGCGUUAUUCGGAAUUAUUGGGCGUAAAGGGCGCGUAGGCGGCGCGAUAAGUCAAAGGUGAAAUCCCUCGGCUCAACUGAGGAACUGCCUUUGAGACUGUCGAGCUUGAGGCCGGGAGGGGGUAGCGGAAUUCCCAGUGUAGCGGUGAAAUGCGUAGAUAUUGGGAGGAACACCAGUGGCGAAGGCGGCUACCUGGACCGGUUCUGACGCUGAUGCGCGAAAGCGUGGGUAGCAAACAG